UUGAUCUGAAUCAGGCGGGAUUACCCGCUGAACUUA
rnacentral:rRNA from 1 species